UUCACGGAGAGUUUGAUCCUGGCUCAGGACGAACGCUGGCGGCGUGCUUAACACAUGCAAGUGGAGCGACGAACCAGGGCUUGCCCUGGGGCAGAGCCGCGAACGGGUGAGUAACACGUGGGCAACCUGCCCCGAUGACUGGGACAACCCGAGGAAACUCGGGCUAAUACCGGAUGUGCUCCCUCACAUCAGUGAGGUGAGUAAAGGAAGCUUCGGCCUCCGCAUUGGGAUGGGCCCGCGGCCCAUUAGCUUGUUGGUGGGGUAAUGGCCUACCAAGGCAACGAUGGGUAGCUGGUCUGAGAGGACGAUCAGCCACACUGGGACUGAGACACGGCCCAGACUCCUACGGGAGGCAGCAGUGGGGAAUCUUGCACAAUGCGCGAAAGCGUGAUGCAGCAACGCCG
rnacentral:rRNA from 1 species